rnacentral:tRNA from 1 species
GCCUCUGUAGCUCAAUGGACAGAGCGACUCCCUUCUAAGGAGUAGGUUGCAGGUUCGAAUCCUGCCAGAGGCACCA